rnacentral:rRNA from 1 species
UGGCUGACGGGGCCGGCGUCGCCACCAUACAUGCAAGUCGAGCGAAUGGAUUAAGAGCUUGCUCUUAUGAAGUUAGCGGCGGACGGGUGAGUAACACGUGGGUAACCUGCCCAUAAGACUGGGAUAACUCCGGGAAACCGGGGCUAAUACCGGAUAACAUUUUGAACCGCAUGGUUCGAAAUUGAAAGGCGGCUUCGGCUGUCACUUAUGGAUGGACCCGCGUCGCAUUAGCUAGUUGGUGAGGUAACGGCUCACCAAGGCAACGAUGCGUAGCCGACCUGAGAGGGUGAUCGGCCACACUGGGACUGAGACACGGCCCAGACUCCUACGGGAGGCAGCAGUAGGGAAUCUUCCGCAAUGGACGAAAGUCUGACGGAGCAACGCCGCGUGAGUGAUGAAGGCUUUCGGGUCGUAAAACUCUGUUGUUAGGGAAGAACAAGUGCUAGUUGAAUAAGCUGGCACCUUGACGGUACCUAACCAGAAAGCCACGGCUAACUACGUGCCAGCAGCCGCGGUAAUACGUAGGUGGCAAGCGUUAUCCGGAAUUAUUGGGCGUAAAGCGCGCGCAGGUGGUUUCUUAAGUCUGAUGUGAAAGCCCACGGCUCAACCGUGGAGGGUCAUUGGAAACUGGGAGACUUGAGUGCAGAAGAGGAAAGUGGAAUUCCAUGUGUAGCGGUGAAAUGCGUAGAGAUAUGGAGGAACACCAGUGGCGAAGGCGACUUUCUGGUCUGUAACUGACACUGAGGCGCGAAAGCGUGGGGAGCAACAGGAUAGUACACCCCUCGUGGUGAGUCACAGGCAGUUUUACCGAAAGAAGAACAGGACCCGCUCGGUGUCACAUAAGCAGGAA